GGAAUGGGGAGGGCAUGGCCAGUGUCCAGUGAGAACAGAGAAUGCUCUAGGGUUCUGGGGCCGGACUUGGAGCUGUGCAGAGACCUGGGAUCUACCAGAGAUGCAGCCCCCAAGUACAUGGGGUAGUGAGGAAGCCCUCUGGUCUCUCUUCUCCCAUUCUUUUACUCUUUUCUUGUUCCUUCCACUGGCCCAAAAAACUGAACGCCAACAGGCAAGGGAUCCCAGGUGAAGCCUCACAGGAGGCUGACCUCCCAGGACUUACAUCAAGGCAGAUGGUGAGUGCCCCCCAAUGGUGAGUGCAUGUGCCAGCCAUGAUAGAUGGGAGUGGGAUGAUCCUCAGGCCCCUGGCAGAGAGUUCAGUUUCUGAGGUCAUCAGAGAAGAUUUGCCAGAGGCUUUCGCUUACCCAAGGGAAGUAAUGUUAAAGGGUCAUGUGUUUUUCUGAAGCAAAGUAUCGCUUUUACAGAGAAAUGGCUGCUACCUAGGGCCAGUGCCUUCACAGUGAGUGCCAAUGUGUUUCACAGUCCAUGCUCACCUCUGGUAAUUUCCAAAAUCUGUCAUCAAAAUGAUCCAGAUCAUGAACUCAGAGAGAAACAACCCAUACUGGCUUGUCUGACCUCCCUGAUAGUCUAUCAACGAGAUUGAUUCUAUCUCAGUCUUACGGAUGCAAUUCUUCAUAUCCAAAAGAUACUGCCAUUUGUAGCACUUGUUCUAAGGCAGCAAAAGCAGCAGGAAGGACCAAUUCUACCUACAGCACAGGAUUCCAGAGAUGUCUUGAUUUUUAUUAAUGUUGGUUUCAAUGGAUGUUCCCCAGGUUUGGUUAUGCUAAGUAGAAGAUACAGAUUUGUAAUGCCUAAAUUCUCACACUUCUAAUCCUACAGUCCAAUUAUUCUGGCAUUUGCUACAAUGUGCUCUGAAGAAAUGGAUUGGAAAUAAACAAAUAAAUAAAUAAAUAAAUAAUUCCACAGGAGGAAAAAAAUGCGUUCUGAAAGGAUCAGGAUUUUCAAAGCCCCCAAGCUUCAACAUAUCCGAGGAUCGAAGGCCUGAAUAAAGUGGCAUCACAGAAGUGUGAGAACAGCCUUUCCCCAUUCUCCGGAGUGGAUCCAUGAGCCAGGAGUCAGGCCUGCACUUUGAGGAGCGGAAGUGCUUUUGUGAGGACAAGCAAGAAUGUCUUGUAAUUUCAACUACCCUUAAAGCUGUUUCAGGGUUCCCUGAUAAUGAACUAACUGAUACUGGGACUUCCCUUCUCCAUCCCCCAAAGAAAAGCUGCGUUCCAACUCAACACCUCAUAGAACCAGAGCCCCCUAAUAUCCCUAGGUGUGGGCAGCUGGCAUUCCCCAACAUUCCCCUAACACCCAGCACCUAAGCUAAGAAUGCUUGGGGCCUGAACCCCAAAUGUUUAUUCAGCCAUGUAAAGCCACUUGCACACUUGUCCUAUAAAAAAGGAAAGCAACAGAAUGUUUUUCUCCUCUUGGAGCAGAGCCCCACAGUGAAUCUAGCAAUGCACUGGCUCAAACAUGCCCCCUUUUCAGCAGCAUGCUGAAAGAAAUAGGAUCCAUGCGUCAGCUGGAAUUUCUAUCUCUGAGUUUCUACCUAAACUAAGUGAUACUUUCUGUUAUUCCCAGUCACAUCAAAACAAAUGUGAGAUUCAAAUUUUAAACUGGGCUAUACUGUAACAAAUUAGACUUGACUCUUUUUGUUUUGUUUUGUUUAAAUAACAGAAAGUGACUAGAAAACUAUAGGAUCCACCUAAGAUGCUAAGACAUGGCAAAGUGAGACCAAACAUAGCACAACAAAUAGUUGGAGACAAAAUAAAAGCAUUUUACAUUUGUGCACUACAAUGUUCAGGCUAUUCAACACACUGAUUUCACACAUACAGUCCCAUUUAUUGCCAACAAUAACCCUGCAAAGUAGGUACUAUUAUUGGGCACAUUUUACAUAUAAAACGACUUAAAAUUAGAGGAGGUAGUAUAUAUUUUCCUAAUUUUUGGCAGCCCAGCAUCUAAAGCCCUUUUCUAUGCUUGAAGAAUGCCCUGCCUUAUGAGUGAGUCUUGCUGGAAAGAAGAGACCAGCUUCCAAUAUAAAAACUGAAAAUACCAAAUACUUUUCCCAUAUUCCCUGAUAACUAUCACACUGACAUUAGAAGAGUCUCCACCAACAGAUGUGAGCAUGCCAGUUUUCCCCAGAAUCUAAAGAUACAAAGAAAGAGGAUUUUUGUGGGAAACCACUCUGGUGAAAAUGCCAGUGGAAGUCCUACACUGAACCCGAUUUCCAGUGGCAAGAAUUUUAGUGGCUCCAGCAGCGAUGCCCAGUGCUCCGUGACUAUGGGUUCACAAUGUACACAAACUGGUUGGGCCACUGCAGAUGAAAGAGAUGGCUUCAAGUGCUCAGUUAUGUGUCUUGAUUGGUAAUGUGGCCAUUGGCUGGGUAAUGUCCACACUGCUUCUCUGGCCCUUUUGAAGUGUCUGUUAGCCAUAAUAACUAGAUUUAUUUUCUGAUUAAAUUAGCUAGAAUUAGGUUCUGACUGACUUAGGAUAAGUAAUUGCUCUCUGAUCACACAUAGAGCAAAUGAUGGAGCUGGAAUUCCAGUCUUCACUAGGUUAUACUGAAUGAUGAGAUAAUGUUAUGGGCUGAAUUCAUGUGUUGAAGUCCUCAUCUCCAGAACCUCAGAAUGUCUGUAUUUGGAGAAGAGUUUUUAAUGUUGUAAUUCAGUGAAAGUGAGGUCAGUAGGGUGGCUAUAAUUCAAUAUGACCUGAAUCCUUACGAGAAUGAAAAUCUGGACACAGAAAUCCGUGUGGGAGGCCAUGUGAAGACACGGAGAAAGCAUCCAUCUGUGAGCCAAAGAGAGAGGCCUCAGAAGAAACCACCCCUGCAGACACCUUGUAAUUGGACGUCUAGCCUUCAGAACUGUGAAACAGGAAAUUUCUGUUAUUUAAGCCACCCAGUCUAUGGUACUUUGUUAUGGCAGUCCUAAUAAACUAAUACCAGGAAUGAGGAAUACGAAAGAAUUCAAGAUGAUCUCAAAGUUGCUCAAUGAGGUGACUUUAGAAAAGAUGAAGGGUAUGAGAGGAGUAGCCAUUGCAGAAGGAGAACAAGAUCAUGAAUUCAAUUCAGAAAACUUUGAUUUUGAGACCUCUGCAGGAGAAAAUAAGAGAAAGCUUCAAAGGCCUAGCUUCCUUUAUAGAGUCCUGGGAGAGACCUAAAGUUGAGGAAUAGAGAGAAAAGGCACCUCUGGAUACUCACUGGCAUUGGAUCCAGCUCUGAGUUGCUUGCUUUCUGGGCUUCAGAAUGACAAAGCAGGUUUAUGCACAGAGUUUUUCAAUAAGCAAGUCCCCACUGAAGGUCACAGGCCUAUUUCAGCAGUGGGAGAAACCACAGUCAGCAGUAUUGGGCCAUGCAAGUGAAGGGUUGUUCACUGGAGAGGUUUGUUACCUUAUUGGGAAGAUGAAGUUUUCAUCCAGCAUUAAGCCUAUGGCUAUAAUUCAGGGAUGAGACAAGGGUGUUUGCAUUUGUUAGCAUGAAGACAAACAAAUCCAACACCCUUAGGUCAGAAUUUCAGCUUAACAUGGUAUCUUGUGCUUGAAUAUCCCUUGCAACCUCUCCUGACUUUCCACUUUCCAAAGUGAGUCUUUUAAAAUGCUCACGUUUUGGCUCACACCUGUAAUCCCAGCACUUUGGGAGGCCGAGGCGGGCGGAUCACGAGAUCAGGAGAUCAAGACCACGGUGAAACCCCGUCUCUACUAAAAUACAAAAAAUUAACCGGGCGUGGUGGUGGGCUCCUGUAGUCCCAGCUACUCGGGAGGCUGAGGCAGGAGAAUGACGUGAACCCCGAAGGCGGAGCUUGCAGUGAGCCGAGAUUUCGCCACUGCACUCCAGCCUGGGCGACACUGCGAGACUCCGUCUCAAAAAAAAAAAAAAAAAAAAAAAAAAAAAGGCCACGUUUAUUGGUCUUAUGCCUAUAAAAAAAGUCUAUGUGGACAACCACUCAUUGAUUCAAUAAAUAAUGCUUAAGUGCUUACUCUGUGCCAGGAUUCUGAAAGGCACUGUGGGUAAAUGGUAGGCAAAUCUAAACCUGGUCCUGCCUUCAGAGAGUCUACUGUUUGAACGGAAAAAGAAGAGAAUGAGGCCAAACAAGAGGUUGUUCACCUGAGGAAAUGGAUGGGAGCUGGGCAAGCCUACCUGGCAGAGGCUCACCUGGCUGAGUACCUAUGAAAUUGCCAUGGAUGAUCUCAAAAUUCAAAGAAAAGUCCAGUGCAUAUAAAUAAAAACCUUGAAAACACAAAUUCAUAGGCAAAAGGCUGAGAGGCCACAUAAAUUACUUUUAGUGAAAACAACAAAUAAUAUUAGUAUUAUUUCUGUUUCAGUAUUCAAGGCAGUGGUGAUGGGAACUUGAGGGCAUGAGAAUCAGGGCAAAGAGAAUUACUGAAAGAGUAAAACUAUCUUAAAGAUGUGAGGUUGGCCACUGAUGGAGAGGACAAGCAGGACAGGGAUCGGGGGACCAAAGUCCAGCUGCACUGACUCCAUUCAGCUCUGCUCUGUUCACCCUCAUCCCAAACCUGUCCCCAUCCCCAGACAAAUAGAAGCUGUGGACAAAGAUUGUUUUUGCCCUCCACAUCUCCAAUACUCUGUUUUCAAAUGACUGCAACCAACCCAACAAAAGAACUCACUUAACAUAUUAGUAGUAUCUUAAAUGAUGCAAUUUUAUCUUGUCCAUGAAAUAGCUUCAAUUAAAACAAAUUAUCUCUUUCCAUUCAUAGCUUAAUUCAUAUAGCACAUCUGAUAGAGCCUUUUUAAAUGCUCACUUUUAUUGGUCUUAUUUCAAAAUUAAUUCAUGUUUAUAGUCUAGCAUUUAGAAAAUUCCAAGGCAAAGCAGGCUACAUUUGUGUGUUUCCUCUUGGUGUCUCCAGUGCCCCAUGCCGCCACUGCACAGAGGACAUUAAGCAUUGAACACAGAGAACUAAACCACUUAAGGAACCACCCAUAAUCUCAAUACCAAUAGAUACUUACCCUCACUUUUUUGAUAUGUUUUUUCCAGUCACUUGUGUAUGUAAGCAUACAUACAAAAACAGGUGUGUGUGUGUGUGUAAAAAUGUGUGUUUACAGAGUUCGUUUUACAGGAAAGCACAAAGUCAGAUAGUUGUUAUCGGGCACCUAUGGGAAAUGUCAUAGGAGACUAAAGAUGAGACGAAAACUUUGGGACCACCACUCUUAAUCAUCCUAAUACUUGAUCUUUCCAUGGCUACCCUGAGAUAGAAUAAAUGGCUUUUGUAAAACAACUUAAACCUCAUCUCCUUAAUUGAGGUAUCCUGCUUUCUUACUCUUAUUUACGUGUCUAAGUCAGGGAGAAACAUCCCAUUAUGUCACAAAUAAGAUUAAAGGUAGUUGUAAUUAAAUUUCACCAUGUGCCCUGAGUUUUCCCACCUGAGAAUUAUAAGAAAAAAAUCAAAAGGUCUUCUCCUCUUACUAGACUACCCACCAAAUGGUCAUUACAUUUUCCUGUAGGCUGCAGAUAAAAUCUCUCUAUCAUAAGUCUCCCAAUCACCAAGUGAGAAAACACCACUCUGGGGUCCAGGGAUGUGUAGGCAAUUGAAGAGUUUCUCUUUUAAGAAUGGCAGCUCAUUAGGGUAAGUGUCCAAGAACAUAAUGAAAAAAUUGUGGUAUAUUUAUACUGGGGGAUAUGCCAGAUUAAAAAACGAACACAUUUGAGUUACAGAUAGCAACAUGGAUAAAUCUCUAAUGCAGAAUUUUAAUAAGAAAAAGGCAUAUUGCAGAAUUAUAGGUGCAGUAUAAUACCAUGUAUAUAAAGUUUAAACACAAAAACAUGCUAUAUAUCUUUUAUGGAUAUAUCCUUGUGCAGUAAAAAAUAUAAAAUAUGCAUAAGAAUGACAAAGACAAAUUUUAGAGGAUUUAUUCCCUUAGGGAGAAAAGGAAACGGCAUCACAAGGAUUACAAGAUUUGAAUUGAAUCUACAAUAUUUUAUUCCUUAAGCUGAGUAGCGGGUACAUGGGUGUUCAUAUACUCAAAACCAUUUUUGGCACAUGAAAUAUUUUAAAAUUUUUUAAAAAGCUAGAUAGUAUGAUUGACAUCUUCAGAUACUUGAAGAUCUGGCAUGUUGAUGAUGGAAAGUAUCCUAUGACUAAGUAGGUAAAGCUAUUAUGAAGGCAAAUUUUAGGUCAUUCUUAGGAAAAACCUAAAAGGGCUGUCUAAAAAUGAACAGUGUCUUCUACAUGAUUAAGGAGUAAAACAGAGUUAAGGUCUUCGGAGGUAGCAAGUCACAGUGCAAGUAGAGUUCACUUGUCUUUGUCUUGAAAGCAAAGAUUUCUUUUCUCUUGCAAAAUUCCCGGGACAUAUCCUGAUAAAGCUUUACAUCUCAGCAGCAUCACUCUGAUUGCUCUUUUUUCAGUUGGUGUCAUUGGAAGCCCCUAAACCCUAUUUAACUUCAGUGCCAUUGACUGGCACUUCCUGCCACUUACAUCUUUGCCAUUUGGCAGUGCCUGGGUUGGACAGAUCUGCCACCUGGUUCUGGUUCUGCAUUAUUGUCAUUCCUUGUGCCAGUCAUAAGGAUUCACUGGCACCCCUCUGAGAUUAGGAGUUCUCCAGGUCUGGAGAUAUUAAAAAAGAGAGAGAUGGUCAGCGAUGCUAUAGAAGGGAUUUUAGUAGUCUCUGGUAUGCUGGAGCACAUAACCUUUGAGUAUGGAUUUCCAUAUUCAUUUAUUCAAGAAAUGUUUAGUGAGUGUUUACUUUGUGCAAAGCACCUUGCUCGUUAAGCUUCUAUGGCUCUAGAAUUUGUCUUUGAAAAUGCGUCUCUAACUUUACAGAAAUGAAAAUUGAGACAUGAUGGGAAAACUUAUUUUAAGCAAACAAUAAGGCAGGCAGGCAGGCUGUGGUUUGCAGACCGACCACUUCUAGCCUUAUUGCCAAGAGCACUACGAGAGUCACAGGAACAUUUUGGAGAUAAUGUUACAUUCACAGACUUGUACAUGUCUUACAGUGAAAGACACCCCAGAGGUUAUCCAAUUCAAAUACUUCAUUUUACAGACGAGGAAACAAAAGCCUGGGGAGGUAUGUGGCUAACUGAUUGCAGAAUCUAUUCUCAGAUAUGGUAUUUCCUUCCCAACCUUGAAAGUUGUGUUCCUGAAAACCUCCAUGGAAGGAGAAAUUACACUUGAGGAACUUACGACCUUAGGAAGAAAAUAGAGUUUGGGGAGUAAGAUAGUGAGUGAAUCUGAGAAAGUUAUCAUCAUUGUUUUAUAUCUACUAAUAAAACAAUGUAGGUACCAUUGAUACCCACUUUAUUUUAUGCCGAACGCAUUUGUAAUGGUGAAUCUUGUACAGGUGAUUUUAUUUACUUCUUAGAAUUCCUUAUUAACACUUCUCUAGGCUCUCUAUACACAAUUUUUGUAAAACUUCUUGUGAGUCAUUGCCUUUUUGUGUAAAUACUGGUUACAAUGGAUUGUUUUCUGUUUCAGGUCCUGUUGUCUCUGCCUUUUUGCAUCUUUGACAUUAUCAUUGUAACUUAUAACUUCUAACCUCUACUCUGACUCAACUUGGUUGUUUCCUGAUUCCUCUCUCUCCUUCUUGCUGUUCCUUCUCUCUGCUGUCCUUUAACUGUAGCUGCUCACCAGGACUAUGCUGUAAACUUUCACCUCCUCUCACUGUUUACUCUACCUAUGUAACUAUCAUGUUUGAUAAUGAGGUCCUGCUGAAUAAGCCUGUUUGCUGUCUUUCCAGGCUGUGCUUUCCCACUCCUGCAGCUACUGCCUUAAUUCAGGUUAUCACUGUCUCUCACUAGGACCCCUGCACUAAUCUCCUUGAUUGGUCAAAGGUUUCAUUAUUUGCAUUGUGCUCUGAGUGAAAUUUUCUUAUGACGGCUUACAGUUCCCAGUGGCUGCAUGUGCCUAUAGAACACUAACUUCCUAAGCAUUUCAUCCAAGGCCCUCCACCUUAGCUCUUGUACCCUUUACUCCAGCCAUAUUUAUUGACCCUACUUGAUGGCCUAAUGUACCAGACUAUUUGGCAUCUUCAUGCCUUUGUGAACUGACUUUUCUUCAUCAGGAAUGCCCUUCACUCUGCCCCUCUCACGCUACCCAUUUCCCCUCCCACGUGCAAUCACCUGCCUGGUGAACAUCUACUCUUCCUCGAAAACUUUGCUCAUACCAUCACCUCUCCCUUGGAGGUACCACUUCCUACUCCUACUUUCUGCUCAUCUCGUACCUCAUUAAAGAGAAUAGGAGGUUCCCACCACAAAAUCUGAAAGCCUCCUGCCACAAAACCUGUCUUCUUCCCUCUGUGCAACUGAAUGUGACUCCUUGUAAUCAAAUGCUCAUCCCUCAAUUCAUGUUGGGAAUCCCAUCUCUCUCACUUUCUCAAGAAGUUCAAUGCUUCUGUCAGACUGUCUCCAGUCAAUUAUUCCCAUCAGCAUAUAAACAUAAUCCAGUAUUACUGUCCUAACCAAUACUCCAUAUUGAUCCACAUCCCUUUCCAGCUACCAUUCUUUUCUGUCUUUCACAAUAAAAUUCCAUAAAAUAGUUGUGUACACACAGCACUUUUAUGUUUUCACUUCACAGUCACUUUGGAAUUCACUUCAAAUUGGCAUUCACCCACAUGACCCAGUUGGUCACUAAUGACCUUUAUAGUGCUAUGUCCACAUUUUCAUCUCACUAGAACUUUCAGCAACAUCCAACAAUUGACCAUUCUCUUCUCAAAAUUGGCCAUUCUCUUCUUGAAAUUGUUCUUGGCUUACAUGAUUCCAUAUUUCCCUGGUCUUUUAUCUGCUUCUCUACCUGCUCCUCCUAAGCCUCUGUUGUGUCUUUUCUUCCACUUUCUAUAAUACCUCUAAGUAUUGAAUUUCCUCAGUAUUCUGCUCUGAACCCCAUGCCUUAUGUUUCCAUAAAUAAUCUCAUUCAUCCUCAUGGCUUAAAAUACCAAUUCCAAGCCAAUGACUCCUAUGUCUGUAUCUCUAGUCCUAACCUCUCCUCUGACCUCCUGACUUAUACUCUUGUCUUUAUAACACCCACUUAUGAAUGCUUCAUGGACAUCUCACAUAAAUAUAUCCAAGACUGCAUUUUUAUUUCCCUCUGAAAACCUAGUCCUCCUUCCAUCCUCCCCACCUCCCUUUUUUGGCAACAUUAUCCACGCUGUUGAUCAGGUCUGGAUCCUGGGAGUCACUAAUUAUUUCUCCCUGUAUUUCUUCCUCUAGUCCAAUUCGUCACUAAGUCUGAUCAUCUGUCUCCUAAAUGCAGCAUAAGGAGAUCCACUUUUCUUUAUCGUUACUGCCACAUUGUAGUUUGAUCUACUAUUAUUUUAAACUUAACAACCACAAUACCUUCAAACUGAUCUCCAUGCACACAGAACACAGUGACUCUCAUCCUUAAUUGAAUCUCUACACAGCCACAGAAACAGUCUUUCUUGAAACAUAAAUCCCAGCAUGACACUGCCUGACAUGCAAUCUCUCUUUGCACUUUGUCUUAGUCCAGGUACAUCAGUGUUGCUAUAAGUCCUGUUGGUCAGCCUCCUGCCCCGUACCCUAAGCUCAUCUUACAUCAGCGAGUCCUCACUCUCCACUCUCUAGACUGACUCCUGAUGUUUUCUCAAGCAAGUUGAUUUCUUUCUCAUCUUAAUCCUUCACAGGUGGUACAUAGUGCUUCCCGAGUUUAGAUCUCCACUCUCCCUUAUGUUCUCAUAAAGGAUUCAUAUGUCCUUUAGGUCUUGGCUUAAAUGCCAUCUAUUCAGAGAAGCCUUCCCUGGCGACCUUAUCUGAGUCAAUCUUCCAUUGUUAUAUUGUUAUAUUGAUUUGCUUUGUUUCUUGCUACUUCUUCUACUUGACUCGGUAGAAGGCUCUGCAUAAUUGACCAAAAUAUAUACAGUGUUUUUCAGAGUGCUAGUCACCUAUUAGUACUGAAGAAUUAUUUGUUGAAUAACUUAAUGAUUUUUUUGCAGUUACACGAGUGUUGUUUUGAUUGACUGAAAAUAGAUUGCCUAAGAUGACAUGAAAGAUCAAAGGUGAAGAGUGGAAGAUAGCACCACUUUGGGUUAAAAGUUUACUUAAGUCAGCAACUCCUCAAGAAACAGCUACCAGCAUUCCUGGGACUAUUAUGCCCUGGUCUACUUGUAGCCUGUUUGUAUUCCAGCCUACUUUGGCACCUUGCCGUCUCUGCUUACCGACUUUCUGCAUAAGAGUGAAAUAGAAAGUGACUUGGAACCAUGUAUACCUAAAGUGUGACAUUUAAAAAAACGUCCUCAGAAAAACUAAUAUCCUGGUUAUUUUUGAAUGUGCUAAGAGACUCUUUUUUUUAAUCUUGUUUUUUUAUUUUGAAUAUAGAGCACAUUGAGGUUUAAAAUGGAAAAUUCUAUUAAAAAUAAAAGGCAUACGUUUACAUAUCUUACAAUUACCUCUGCUUCUGUCCCUCCCAUUCCUUAUGAG
rnacentral:lncRNA from 1 species